AACGAACGCUGGCGGCAUGCCUAACACAUGCCAGUCGAACGAGACCUUCGGGUCUAGUGGCGCACGGGUGCGUAACGCGUGGGAACCUGCCCUUAGGUUCGGAAUAACUCCCCGAAAGGGGUGCUAAUACCGGAUAAUGUCUUCGGACCAAAGAUUUAUCGCCUUUGGAUGGGCCCGCGUUGGAUUAGCUAGUUGGUAGGGUAAAAGCCUACCAAGGCGACGAUCCAUAGCUGGUCUGAGAGGAUGAUCAGCCACACUGGGACUGAGACACGGCCCAGACUCCUACGGGAGGCAGCAGUGGGGAAUAUUGGAAAAGGGGCGAAAGCCUGAUCCAGCAAUGCCGCGUGAGUGAUGAAGGCCUUAGGGUUGUAAAGCUCUUUUACCCGGGAUGAUAAUGACAGUACCGGGAGAAUAAGCGCCGGCUAACUCCGUG
rnacentral:rRNA from 1 species